rnacentral:rRNA from 1 species
ACUAGCUGAGAGGAGGUGCAUGGCCGUCGUCAGUUCGUACUGUGAAGCAUCCUGUUAAGUCAGGCAACGAGCGAGACCCACGCCAACAGUUGCCAGCUCGUCCUCCGGGAUGGUGGGGACACUGUUGGGACCGCCUCUGCUAAAGAGGAGGAAGGAAUGGGCAACGGUAGGUCAGCAUGCCCCGAAUUAUCUGGGCUACACGCGGGCUACAAUGGGUGGGACAAUGGGUAUCGACACCGAAAGGUGAAGGCAAUCUCCUAAACCCAUCCGUAGUUCGGAUUGUGGGCUGCAAUCGCCCACAUGAAGCUGGAAUCUGUAGUAAUCGUGUCUCAAAAUGGCACGGUGAAUAUGUCCCUGCUCCUU